rnacentral:rRNA from 1 species
GCAAGUCGAGCGCUACCUUCGGGUGGAGCGGCGGACGGGUUAGUAACGCGUGGGAACAUACCCUUUUCUACGGAAUAGCCUCGGGAAACUGAGAGUAAUACCGUAUACGCCCUUCGGGGGAAAGAUUUAUCGGUGAAGGAUUGGCCCGCGUUAGAUUAGAUAGUUGGUGGGGUAAUGGCCUACCAAGUCUACGAUCUAUAGCUGGUUUUAGAGGAUGAUC